rnacentral:lncRNA from 1 species
CUACAAUCGGUUCUUGGGGGUAAAGCUGAAAUUGAAAUUUUCUUAAACACAUUUCAGAAGAAAAUAAAACAUCAAAUUAUUUAAAAUUACAUUAAAAACUGAGAAGAGAUAGGCACACAGGAAAGAGAAACAUAAAGACGUCAAGAAACAGAGGAGAGAGAAAAAAGUUGUUGACUUUUUUGACACAUCAUCAAACUUUUAAC